rnacentral:rRNA from 1 species
CCUGACGCAGCGACGCCGCGUGAGUGAUGAAGGCUUUCGGGUCGUAAAGCUCUGUCUAGAGGGAAGAAAUGAUAGUCGGUUAAUACCCGGUUUUCUUGACGGUACCUCUGAAGGAAGCACCGGCUAACUCCGUGCCAGCAGCCGCGGUAAUACGGAGGGUGCAAGCGUUGUUCGGAUUUAUUGGGCAUAAAGCGCGUGUAGGCGGUUUGUUAAGUCAGAUGUGAAAGCCCUGGGCUCAACCUGGGAAGUGCAUUGGAAACUGGCAGACUUGAAUACGGGAGAGGGUAGUGGAAUUCCUAGUGUAGGAGUGAAAUCCGUAGAUAUUAGGAGGAACACCGGUGGCGAAGGCGGCUACCUGGACCGAUAUUGACGCUGAGACGCGAAAGCGUGGGGAGCAAACAGGAUUAGAUACCCUGGUAGUCCACGCCGUAAACGAUGAGUACUAGGUGUUGCGGGUAUUGACCCCUGCAGUGCCGCAGCUAACGCAUUAAGUACUCCGCCUGGGAAGUACGGUCGCAAGACUAAAACUCAAAGGAAUUGACGGG